rnacentral:rRNA from 1 species
UACAGAGGUCUCAAGCGUUGUUCGGAUUCAUUGGGCGUAAAGGGUGUGUAGGUGGCGCCGUAAGUCGGGUGUGAAAUUUCGGAGCUUAACUCCGAAACUGCAUUCGAUACUGCGGUGCUUGAGGACUGGAGAGGAGACUGGAAUUCAUGGUGUAGCAGUGAAAUGCGUAGAUAUCAUUUGGAACGCCAACGGUGAAAACAGGUAGCUGGGGUUGCGCUGACGCUGAGACACGAAAGCCAGGGGAGCGAACGGG